rnacentral:rRNA from 1 species
GACAGAGGAUGCAAGCGUUAUCCGGAAUGAUUGGGCGUAAAGCGUCUGUAGGUGGCUUUUUAAGUCCGCCGUCAAAUCCCAGGGCUCAACCCUGGACAGGCGGUGGAAACUACCAAGCUGGAGUACGGUAGGGGCAGAGGGAAUUUCCGGUGGAGCGGUGAAAUGCGUAGAGAUCGGAAGGAACGCCCGUGGCGAAAGCGAGGCCCUGGACCCUUACUGACGCUGAGACGCGAAAGCCAGGGGAGCGAACGGG